GGAAAUCUCUCCAGGCCCGGAGACUGGAAGGAUUGACAGAUUGAUAGCUCUUUCUUGAUUCUGUGGGUGGUGGACGUGGUGCAUGGCUGUUCUUAGUUGGUUGAGUGAUUUGUCUGGUUAAUUCCGUUAACGAACGAGACCUUAACCUGCUAAAUAGUGACGCGGUUCAUCGAACCGUGGGCCACUUCUUAGAGGGACUAUCGGAUUCAAACCGAUGGAAGUGUGAGGCAAUAA
rnacentral:rRNA from 1 species